UGACGUGCAGAAACUGUGCCAGUGACAUCUGUCACUCCAUAGGUCACCUGGACUGAUUUGGCUAAUCUAAUUGGCUAUGCAUAUUGUUCCUCGCUCCCUCAUUGUUCCAUGCAUAUGCUUCCUGAAGCUGCAUGCUUGGGUGAAGAGGANAANUUUCUGAGAUAGGGGAGGAUCAUUNUUGGGUCACAGUAGCUGUGCUCUNCUGCUAGAACCUCCGAANAAGUCUGCUAAGGUCCAUGUAAGGUUCUGUAAUCAAAUGGAAAGACUGAGGCAAUNUCUACCUGAAACAUUGCCUAAUUAUAAAGUUGUGAGUU
rnacentral:snRNA from 1 species